GGGCCAGUAGCUCAGUGGUAGAGCAACGCCCUUUUAAGGCGUGGGUCGAAGGUUCAAGUCCUUCCUGGCUCA
rnacentral:tRNA from 1 species